rnacentral:pre_miRNA from 1 species
UCUUCAUUUCGCGUGCUCUCUCGCCUCUCUGACCGGUGAGAGAGUGCGUGAAAUGAAGAGA